CGGCAGCACAGCCAGCGGCAGUACGGUGCCUGUCCUCGGCAGUGCUGCCUUUAUCUCUACGUUUAUCACAGGGUUGCUGCCGUUCACCUUUCAUACAUCUUUUUUCCCCACGCUGUUUGUGGAGAAAACAGAUGGAGUGAUCCUGUGGGGUGAUUGUAAGCCUCUUGAGUCUCCACACCUUCAUGACUUCAACACAGUUCCCAAGUAAUACAGUUACUGACCAUUAGUGUACAGACUUCUUGAGACAGAGUGGCCUCCAGCAGACUGUGUUCAACACCCAUCAACAGUGAGCUAUUGGCUGAGAGUGGAUCAAAUCCAAAUUUAGCCUCCUGUCUCAUAAGUUGUAUCCUUGCAAAGGUUGUCUGAAGCCUGGAAUCAAAUUCACCUUAAGACUGAAAUCUACUGAAGAUUAAAGCAUAAAACAACUGUCCCCUGAGAAUCUGGACACACAACUCAGCCUGACUUCCGGCACACAAGGUUUUCACGUGGGCUCUCUCACAGAAUUUAAAUUUUCCAUCUGGAUCCUGGCUCCACCACGGUGAACAGAAGUGUUGCAGAACCCCGAAGAGCCAGCUGUGCAUUUCAGUUUGGUAUUUGUGAGACUGAGCAAGGUGAGUCACUUAUCGCAGUCGUUACAUUCAACACGUCCCACAAGAGGAGCCGCUGAGAGCUUUCAAGAGCACUUCAAGGUUUGCUUUGCUGCAGUGCCUGUUGCAAAGGACUGCAUUUUCCAUUGUAAUAAUGCACUGCUUUAGAAUGGAUCCCAACAAGAAAAAAAUGUCUUACGCUAUUGCGGUAUUACAAUUUUAAUAAAUAUUUUCCUUGUUUCCCAAGUACUCCAUGGAAGCAAAGCAGGGAAGGAGUCGCUGCAAGCAUCAUCAACUAACAGCAGCAACUGAGAGAAUCAAGGGAUUUACCUGCCAGGCGUCGCUCACUCAUCAGCUUGGCUUUCAUUUGCCUUAAACACCCACUAAAGAUUAGCAGCACUUUACAUGCCCACUAAAAAGAAAAAGCACACUUCUAGGAAAUUACCUGUAUUGCAUCUUACAGGAUAUUUGUGGCAGAGGGAGGGGUAGGUUUUGCAAAUUCUUCCAAGAAAACCAAUGCCUUCACUUAAAGAAAAAAGUCAGAAAAGCACAGGAUGAGAAACAGAGGACAGUGGGAAUGAGACUGCAGCAGCACAGAUCCUUGGAACCUGGAUAAGGUGGCAAGCCCGUUCUGCCAAGUGGUAACAGUCUCCAUUCUUGCUGGAGUUAAUGGACACCCAAAUUCCUGGUGGAGAAAAAACAUUUCUAAACUAAAACCUCUUUUACUCAGCUCUUCUUUCUGCUGAAGCAAAAAAUCACUGAGUUCAAAAUCAGUCAAAAGCUGAUCCAACAGCUUAUGCAAGUGAGUUUCUUGCCAAAGGAAGGAGUGCUGGAACAAAUGAAUAACUUAAAGAAAAAUGGAGAUACUGUGGUAACAUGUAAAAUAGUUUAAUGGUGUGUUUGAGCCCAUUAAAAAUAGUGUAUUUCUUACUGGAGUAUGGAAUUGAAGCAA